UAGAGUUUGAUCCCUGGCUCAGAACGAACGCUGGCGGCAGGCUUAACACAUGCAAGUCGAGCGCCCCGCAAGGGGAGCGGCAGACGGGUGAGUAACGCGUGGGAAUGUACCCUUUGCUACGGAAUAACUCCGGGAAACUGGAACUAAUACCGUAUGUGCCCUUCGGGGGAAAGAUUUAUCGGCAAGGGAUCAGCCCGCGUUGGAUUAGCUAGUUGGUGGGGUAAAGGCCUACCAAGGCGACGAUCCAUAGCUGGUCUGAGAGGAUGAUCAGCCACACUGGGACUGAGACACGGCCCAGACUCCUACGGGAGGCAGCAGUGGGGAAUAUUGGACAAUGGGCGCAAGCCUGAUCCAGCCAUGCCGCGUGAGUGAUGAAGGCCCUAGGGUUGUAAAGCUCUUUCACCGGUGAAGAUAA
rnacentral:rRNA from 1 species